UAAGGAAUAUUGGACAAUGGCCGCAAGGCUGAUCCAGCCAUGCCGCGUGCAGGAAGAAGGUGCUAUGCAUUGUAAACUGCUUUUGUCCCGGAAUAAACCCUCGUUCGUGAACGAGGCUGAAUGUACGGGAAGAAUAAGGGACGGCUAACUUCGUGCCAGCAGCCGCGGUAAUACGAAGGUCCCAAGCGUUAUCCGGAUUUAUUGGGUUUAAAGGGUGCGUAGGCGGGUUAUUAAGUCAGUGGUGAAAGCCUACAGCUUAACUGUAGAACUGCCAUUGAUACUGAUGACCUUGAGUGCGAUUGAGGUAGGCGGAAUGUGUCAUGUAGCGGUGAAAUGCUUAGAUAUGACACAGAACACCGAUUGCGAAGGCAGCUUGCUAAGUCGUAACUGACGCUGAGGC
rnacentral:rRNA from 1 species